GGUUGAUCCUGCCAGUAGUCAUAUGCUUGUCUCAAAGAUUAAGCCAUGCAUGUCUAAGUACACACUUUGGUAAAGUGAAACCGCGAAUGGCUCAUUAAAUCAGCUACAAUUUAUUAGAUCGUACACUGUUACUUGGAUAACUGUGGAAUUCUAGAGCUAAUACAUGCCGAGAGUCUCUGCUCUUCGGGGCAGAGCGCAGUUAUUAGACCAAAACCAGCCGUAUUCUUCGGGGUACGCUCUUUUGGUGACUCUGGAUAACCUUCAGCCGAUCGCAUGGCCUCGUGCCGGCGACGUAUCUUUCAAGUGUUUGCCCUAUCAACUUUCGAUGGUACGUGAUAUGCCUACCAUGGUGAUAACGGGUAACGGGGAAUCAGGGUUCGAUUCCGGAGAGGGAGCCUGAGAAAUGGCUACCACAUCCAAGGAUGGCAGCAGGCGCGCAAAUUACCCACUCCCAGCUUGGGGAGGUAGUGACGAAAAAUAACAAUGCGGGACUCUAAGAGGCCCCGUAAUUGGAAUGAGUACACCUUAAAUCGUUUAACGAGUAUCAAUUGGAGGGCAAGUCUGGUCCAGCAGCCGCGGUAAUUCCAGCUCCAAUAGCGUAUAUUAAAGUUGCUGCAGUUAAAAAGCUCGUAGUUGGAUCUGGGGCUUGAGGUCGCUGUCUAUCGUUUCGGCGAUGACGGUGAUGCUCAGCUCUGCUUGCCGGUGACUGUUGCGGUGUUCUUCACUGAGCGCUGUAGCAGCACGGCACGUUUACUUUGAAAAAAUUAGAGUGCUCAAAGCGUGCUUGUCGCUUGAAUAAUGUUGCAUGGAAUAAUGGAAUAGGACCUCGGUUCUAUUUUGUUGGUUUUCGGAGCUUGAGGUAAUGAUUAAGAGGGACGAACGGGGGCAUUCGUAUUGCGGUGUUAGAGGUGAAAUUCUUGGAUCGCCGCAAGACGGACUACUGCGAAAGCAUUUGCCAAGAACGCUUUCAUUAAUUAAGAACGAAAGUCAGAGGUUCGAAGACGAUCAGACACCGUCCUAGUUCUGACCAUAAACGAUGCCGACCAGCGAUCCGUAGUGGUUGCUUUAUGGGCCCUACGGGCAGCCUCCGGGAACCAAAGUAUUUGGGUUCCAGGGGAAGUAUGGUUGCAAAGCCGAAACUUAAAGGAAUUGACGGAAGGGCACACCAGGAGUGGAGCCUGCGGCUUAAUUUGACUCAACACGGGAAAACUCACCCGGUCCGGACACCGUAAGGAUUGACAGACUGAUAGCUCUUUCUUGAUUCGGUGGAUGGUGGUGCAUGGCCGUUCUUAGUUGGUGGAGUGAUUUGUCUGGUUAAUUCCGAUAACGAACGAGACUCUAGCCUGCUAAGUAGUGUUGCUAUUGUUAUAUGGUUGACACUUCUUAGAGAGACAAGUGGCAUUUAGCCACGCGAAAUUGAGCAAUAACAGGUCUGUGAUGCCCUUAGAUGUCCGGGGCCGCACGCGCGCUACACUGGAGAAGUCAGCGUGUGUUAUCCAAGUCCGAAAGGACUGGGUAAUCCGUUGAACCUUCUUCGUGCUUGGGACUGUGGCUUGGAACUAUUCCACAUGAACGAGGAAUUCCUAGUAAUUGCAAGUCAUAAGCUUGCGUUGAUUACGUCCCUGCCCUUUGUACACACCGCCCGUCGCUACUACCGAUCGAAUGGUUUAGCAAGGUCCUCGGAUCGUGGCCGUAGGGGCACGCAAGUGUUUCUGCGGUUUGCGAGAAGACGACCAAACUUGAUCAUUUAGAGGAAGUAAAAGUCGUAACAAGGUU
rnacentral:rRNA from 1 species